rnacentral:rRNA from 1 species
UACGUAGGGGGCAAGCGUUGUCCGGAAUCAUUGGGCGUAAAGAGCGUGUAGGCGGUCCGGUAAGUCGGCUGUGAAAGUCCAGGGCUCAACCCUGGGAUGCCGGUCGAUACUGCCGGACUAGAGUUCGGAGGAGGCGAGUGGAAUUCCCGGUGUAGCGGUGAAAUGCGCAGAUAUCGGGAGGAACACCUAUGGCGAAGGCAGCUCGCUGGGACGUUACUGACGCUGAGACGCGAAAGCGUGGGGAGCAAACAGG